UACGUAGGGAGCAAGCGUUGUCCGGAAUCAUUGGGCGUAAAGCGCGCGUAGGUGGCCUCAUAAGUCCGCUGUGAAAGUCAAAGGCUCAACCUUUGAAAGCCGGUGGAUACUGUGGGGCUAGAGUACGGAAGAGGCGAGUGGAAUUCCUGGUGUAGCGGUGGAAUGCGCAGAUAUCAGGAGGAACACCAAUAGCGAAAGCAGCUCGCUGGGACGUUACUGACACUGAGGCGCGAAAGCGUGGGGAGCGAACAGG
rnacentral:rRNA from 1 species